CACAUCUCUAAGGUUCAAAAGCAAGUCAUGAGUAGCUUUAGAUAGAUGGAUUUGCAUAUGGAUAUCCUAGAAUAUUACCUACAAACACAAGAUAUACAGUGAUAUCUAAGAGCCUCCCUACCCCGGACCAAUAUCCUAAAAGGUGUUUUUCAAAGGAUGGCAUAUCACAGCUGAAUCAUACCAGGAGCUUGUGAAAAUCUCAAAUUCCCAUCCCUCCCUAAACACAUCCUGACCCCUAAAGCAAUGUGCAUUCAGGACACUCCCCCUAGAUGCUUAAUUCUGAGAAUGUUGGAGAACAGCUUCCCCACGAUAAAGUGCCUCCUCGCGGCAUAAGGAGGCCAGUGGACUCACCUCAGCUUGGAAGGGUGUGGACAGACAGCAGGCAAUCCUGAUGGAAAAGACGAAAAACAGAUGGACGCUUGACCACACCUUACAAAUGCAGAGUGUUUACUCAUUGACUCAUACAUGUCCUUUCAAAGCUGUUUUCCUGUCAAGGAUGUCUUCAAGAGUGGGGUCUGUCCCUCACCCAAAAAAUAACAAAUGAAGUGUAACCGGA